rnacentral:rRNA from 1 species
GAUGAACGCUGGCGGCGUGCCUAAUACAUGCAAGUCGGGCGAACAGAUGAGGAGCUUGCUCCUCUGACGUUAGCGGCGGACGGGUGAGUAACACGUGGAUAACCUACCUAUAAGACUGGGAUAACUUCGGGAAACCGGAGCUAAUACCGGAUAAUAUAUUGAACCGCAUGGUUCAAUAGUGAAAGACGGUUUUGCUGUCACUUAUAGAUGGAUCCGCGCCGCAUUAGCUAGUUGGUAAGGUAACGGCUUACCAAGGCAACGAUGCGUAGCCGACCUGAGAGGGUGUUCGGCCACACUGGAACUGAGACACGGUCCAGACUCCUACGGGAGGCAGCAGUAGGGAAUCUUCCGCAAUGGGCGAAAGCCUGACGGAGCAACGCCGCGUGAGUGAUGAAGGUCUUCGGAUCGUAAAACUCUGUUAUUAGGGAAGAACAAAUGUGUAAGUAACUAUGCACGUCUUGACGGUACCUAAUCAGAAAGCCACGGCUAACUACGUG